ACAGAGUAAGAAUAGGAAUAGAAUAAGAAGAAUAGGCAUAAGAAUAAAGAAUAUCAAAAUAAGAGUAAAAAUAUUUAAAGGAAUAAAAAAAGCGUAAGAAAAAACAUAAGAUGAAAAGCAUAAGAAAGCGCAAGAAAAACGACUGAAAUACAGUCCUCAAAACUACCACAGCCAAAGAGACAGCAUCGAGCCCAGGAUCGGCGUUGGUUGAACAUGGAUCCGACCUCUAUCGCAUCGCACCCUCCCCAACUCACAAGAGUCACUUCUAGCGAUGAGUGUGCAGAGCUCGACAAAGACCAUCUCCAGGUGGAUAAUCAGCGUUAAUGGGCUCUGGGAAAACCAUGUAUUCACAUGUAUGAUCCUGGCGUCCUUGGCUACCUUGAUUGAUGUUAUCUGCAGCACAAUGAUGAUGGCUCUGAGGUGGUUUCCAACUACUCAGAUACCAGUGAAAAGCUAUAGUGAAUUUUUUAUUUUCUGAAGUUAAAUUUAGCAGUGCCAUCUCAGGUUUCGGCAGUUUAUUGACAAUUCAGGACACUGAUUUACUCGGAACAUCACUCAUAAAGUCAUUAAAACAUAAAUUCUGGGUGUCACCCAAUAUAUUCCAGAUUUUUUGCAUUUAUUGUGCUUGUUGAUGUAGCAAACCAAUAUUCACCAAAGAGCAUCUUGAUUUAAGUCUGGGUCAAAGUGAGGGCCAGAAAGGAAGAAAGAUCUGUUGUAUUGGCUGCAGAAAAAGAUUUAUCCCAUUUAUCAUUUAUCCCAUGAAAACAAAAGGCUGUCAUUCCAUAGAAAAGCUGUUUUUGCUAAACCUUCACAUGUGCCCCAAAAGAAGCAAAAAAAUUUGAAGGCUCUGAA